AUGCGCGACGAGCAGGAAGAGAGCUUCGAAUGGGUGUUUUCAGAAUUCAUUCGCAUGAUGGGCGGACCUGCACCAAAAACAAUACUAACAGACCAAUGCAGAGUAAUGGAGGUUGCGAUCAAGAAAAUUUAUCCAAACACUGUCCACCGUUGGUGCAAGUGGCAUGUUCUUAAGAAGGUGAAGGAAACACUGGGGCCGCUUUACACGAAAAAGUGUGAUUUCCAAGCUGAAUUUCACAAAGUUGUUAACCACAUGUUAACUGAGGAGGAAUUUGAAACAGCCUGGGACGCGCUGCUUGAUAAGUACAACUUGAGGGGGCAUAACUAUAUGACCCAAAUAUAUGAGACAAGACAUAAAUGGGCAAAACCAUAUUUCAGAGGUGUGUUUUGUGCAAAAAUGACAAGUACGCAGAGGAGUGAGAGUGCAAACCACAUGCUGAAGUCAUACAUGCCCCCCCGCAAGCCCGAUGCAUGUUUUUGUCUGGCAAUACAUGGGGCUUCAGUUUGA
rnacentral:rRNA from 1 species